rnacentral:rRNA from 1 species
GAUGAACGCUGGCGGCGUGCCUAAUACAUGCAAGUCGAGCGAACAGAUGAGGAGCUUGCUCCUCUGACGUUAGCGGCGGACGGGUGAGUAACACGUGGAUAACCUACCUAUAAGACUGGGAUAACUUCGGGAAACCGGAGCUAAUACCGGAUAAUAUAUUGAACCGCAUGGUUCAAUAGUGAAAGACGGUUUUGCUGUCACUUAUAGAUGGAUCCGCGCCGCAUUAGCUAGUUGGUAAGGUAACGGCUUACCAAGGCAACGAUGCGUAGCCGACCUGAGAGGGUGAUCGGCCAAACUGGAACUGGGACACGGUCCAGACUCCUACGGGGAGCAGCAGUAGGGAAACUUCCGCGAUGGGCGGAAGCCUGACGGAGCAACGCCGCGUGAGGGAUGAAGGUCUUCGGAUCGUAAAACUCUGUUAUUAGGGAAGAACAGAUGUGUAAGUAACUAUGCACGUCUUGACGGUACCUAAUCAGAAAGCCACGGCUAACUACGUG